rnacentral:rRNA from 1 species
AUCGAUACUCCACGUUAANUUUUACUUCAAUUAAAAACUUAUAUACCGCCAUCUCAAGAAUUAUUUUAAAAACAUUCCUCUCAAUAAAUAAUAAAAAGUUAGGUCAAGGUAUAAUCAACAUUGAAGAAUGAGAUGAAUUACAUUAAAAAUUAUUUCAAGAUUAUUAAUAAAUAUAUUAAUAUAAAUAUGGAUUUAAAAGUAUUAUUAAAAUAAUAUUUAUAUUUGAUAAAGAUAAUAGAUGUGUACACAUCGCCC